GCGGAUUUAGCUCAGUUGGGAGAGCGCCAGACUGAAGUCAACUUUAGUCGCUGUUAUCUGGAGGUCCUGUGUUCGAUCCACAGAAUUCGCA
rfam:Lachancea mirantina genome assembly, chromosome: B